AUUGAACGCUGGCGGCAGGCCUAACACAUGCAAGUCGAGCGGCAGAGGGAAGUAGCUUGCUACUUUGCCGGCGAGCGGCGGACGGGUGAGUAAUGUCUGGGAAACUGCCUGAUGGAGGGGGAUAACUACUGGAAACGGUAGCUAAUACCGCAUAAUGUCGCAAGACCAAAGAGGGGGACCUUCGGGCCUCUUGCAAUCAGAUGUGCCCAGAUGGGAUUAGGUAGUAGGUGGGGUAACGGCUCACCUAGGCGACGGUCCCUAGCUGGUCUGAGGGGAGGACCCGCCACACUGGAAGUGAGACACGGUCCAGACUCCGACGGGAGGCAGCAGUGGGGAAUAUUGCACAAUGGGCGCAAGCCUGAUGCAGCCAUGCCGCGUGUAUGAAGAAGGCCUUCGAGUUGUAAAGUACUUUCAGCGGGGGGGAAUGUGUUGAGGUUAAUAACCUCAGCAAUUGACGUUACCCGCAGAAGAAGCACCGGCUAACUCCGUGCCAGCAGCCGCCGUAA
rnacentral:rRNA from 1 species